GACGAACGCUGGCGGCGUGCCUAAUACAUGCAAGUAGAACGCUGAAGCUUGGUGCUUGCACCGAGCGGAUGAGUUGCGAACGGGUGAGUAACGCGUAGGUAACCUGCCUGGUAGCGGGGGAUAACUAUUGGAAACGAUAGCUAAUACCGCAUAAGAGUAGAUGUUGCAUGACAUUUGCUUAAAAGGUGCAAUUGCAUCACUACCAGAUGGACCUGCGUUGUAUUAGCUAGUUGGUGAGGUAACGGCUCACCAAGGCAACGAUACAUAGCCGACCUGAGAGGGUGAUCGGCCACACUGGGACUGAGACACGGCCCAGACUCCUACGGGAGGCAGCAGUAGGGAAUCGUCGGCAAUGGACGGAAGUCUGACCGAGCAACGCCGCGUGAGUGAAGAAGGUUUUCGGAUCGUAAAGCUCAGUUGUAAGAGAAGAACGAGUGUGAGAGUGGAAAGUUCACACUGUGACGGUAUCUUACCAGAAAGGGACGGCUAACUACGUG
rnacentral:rRNA from 1 species